rnacentral:rRNA from 1 species
CGUACACUCCUGCGGGAGGCAGCAGUGGGGAAUAUUGGACAAUGGGCGCAAGCCUGAUCCAGCCAUGCCGCGUGAGUGAUGAAGGCCCUAGGGUUGUAAAGCUCUUUCACCGGUGAAGAUAAUGACGGUAACCGGAGAAGAAGCCCCGGCUAACUUCGUGCCAGCAGCCGCGGUAAUACGAAGGGGGCUAGCGUUGUUCGGAUUUACUGGGCGUAAAGCGCACGUAGGCGGACUAUUAAGUCAGGGGUGAAAUCCCGGGGCUCAACCCCGGAACUGCCUUUGAUACUGGUAGUCUUGAGUUCGAGAGAGGUGAGUGGAAUUCCGAGUGUAGAGGUGAAAUUCGUAGAUAUUCGGAGGAACACCAGUGGCGAAGGCGGCUCACUGGCUCGAUACUGACGCUGAGGUGCGAAAGCGUGGGGAGCAAACAGGAUUAGAAACCCGUGUAGUCCCA